rnacentral:tRNA from 1 species
GGGCCUGUAGCGCAGCUCGGUAGCGCAGCACCAUGGCAUGGUGAAGGUCGAGGGUUCAAAUCCCUCCAGGUCCA